UCUAUUCUAUUUGGGGGGAUGGGAUGGGGGGAAAUGGACAUCUGGUGAUGCCUAUUUUUGUUACAGAAGAAUCAUCUGUGAAAGGAUACUGCGUUUUCUCUCGUCAGGCUGAAAGCAUCACACCAGAAAACGAGUCAGUCCCGGGGUCGGUCAGAUAUUUUCCUCUUUACACACACACACACACACACACACACACACCCGGCUAUGGGAUGACAAAGGCCAUCAACGACAAAGCAGAUGAAUGCGCAGGCAGGCACGGCACUUGUGCCUGCGUGUGUGCUGUGCGAGUCUUUGACCUCUUCCAAGAGCUGCAUCAAAAAUCAACCUUUUGCAGCGUUCUCGCUCAGCAGAUUUCCUGGCGGCUGGACGAAAGCCGAUCUUCAGCUACGGCUGUCUGCAGUUUGCUGUGGCUGAGUGGAAAUAUCCACAGGGACAGCUUUGUUCUACAGCCCAUCCUCUGGGAACCAGUGACUGCACGAUCCUUGUUGGGAAGGUUCUUCUUUCCUGGUCUUCUUCUGCAGUUAUAACACACUGUGGUUCUUCUCCUUUGGCACUCUCUUUUAGCCAGGUCUGUGUCUUCUCCUGACUGUGUAAUAGAUCCUUCAGAUCUUCCCUGUUCUCACCCUUAAAGAAGCCAAGCAUGGAGAGAGAACUUGGGCACUUCCUGUAGGGCUGGCUGGAACUCUAGGCAUCAUGAUGACAUGCUUCAGCCCAUUGUCCCAUCACCCACUCUAGAAGACUCCGGAAUGGAAGGUACCCAGGCAGAUGAGGAAAGGGCUCCUCUAGGACCCCACAUAGCACUCACUUGAGUC